GUACAAGUAGCUCAGCUGGCAAAGCUACCAUCUAUGACACAGUAGGACGUAGGUUCGUGUCCAACCUUGGACG
rnacentral:tRNA from 1 species